UUGUCGGGUAAGUUCCGACCUGCACGAAUGGCGUAACGAUGGCCACACUGUCUCCUCCUGAGACUCAGCGAAGUUGAAAUGUUUGUGAAGAUGCAAUCUCCCCGCGGCAAAGACGGAAAGACCCCAUGAACCUUUACUGUAGCUUUGCAUUGGACUUUGAAUCGGUCUGUGUAGGAUAGGUGGGAGGCUGUGAAACCGGGACGCCAGUUUCGGUGGAGCCAACCUUGAAAUACCACCCUGAUUUUAUUUGAGGUUCUAACCUUGAUCCGUGAAUCCGGAUCGGGGACCGUGCAUGGUGGGCAGUUUGACUGGGGCGGUCUCCUCCCAAAAGGUAACGGAGGAGUACGAAGGUACGCUUAGGGCGGUCGGACAUCGCCCAUAAAGUGCAAUGGCAAAAGCGUGCUUGACUGCGAGACCCACAAGUCGAGCAGGUGCGAAAGCAGGUCAUAGUGAUCCGGUGGUUCUGUAUGGAAGGGCCAUCGCUCAACGGAUAAAAGGUACUCUGGGG
rnacentral:rRNA from 1 species